UCCCUGGUAGUAUAUCGGUUAGUACACGCGCCUGUCAUGUGAAUGUUCUGGUCGGAGAUGAGGUUCGCGCGAAAGCUGGGUUCGACUCCCAGCCAGGGAG